rnacentral:rRNA from 1 species
GACGUAGGGCGCGAGCGUUGUCCGGAUUUAUUGGGCGUAAAGAGCGUGUAGGCGGCUCGAUAAGUCUGCUGUGAAAGUCCAGGGCUCAACCCUGGAAGGCCGGUGGAAACUGUCGGGCUAGAGUCCGGAAGAGGCGAGUGGAAUUCCCGGUAUAGCGGUGAAAUGCGCAGAUAUCGGGAGGAACACCAAUGGCGAAGGCAGCUCGCUGGGACGGUACUGACGCUGAGACGCGAAAGCGUGGGGAGCAACAGG